AGAGUUUGAUCCUGGCUCAGAAUCAACGCUGGCGGCGUGCCUAACACAUGCAAGUCGAACGAGAAAGUGGAGCAAUCCAUGAGUACAGUGGCGACCGGGUGAGUAACACGUGAUCAACCUGCCCUCGAGUGGGGAAUAACUCCGGGAAACCGGAGCUAAUACCGCAUAAUAUCUUCGGUGCGUAGGUACUGAAGAUCAAAACAGUAGUGUGCUUGAGGAGGGGGUCGCGGCUGAUUAGCUAGUUGGCAGGGUAAUGGCCUACCAAGGCAAAGAUCGGUAUCCGGCCUGAGAGGGCGCACGGACACACUGGAACUGAAACACGGUCCAGACUCCUACGGGAGGCAGCAGUGGGGAAUUUUGCGCAAUGGGGGAAACCCUGACGCANCAACGCCGCGUGGAGGAUGAAGUCCCUUGGGACGUAAACUCCUUUCGACCGGACGAUACUGACGGUACGGGUGGAAGAAGCACCAGCUAACUCUGUGCCAGCAGCCGCGGUAAUACACGAGAGGUGCGAGCGUUGUNCGGAAUUAUUGGGCGUUAAAGGCGCGUAUAGCGGUAGCGGUAAAGUUA
rnacentral:rRNA from 1 species